rnacentral:rRNA from 1 species
GGGGAAUAUUGCGCAAUGGGGGCAACCCUGACGCAGCCAUGCCGCGUGAAUGAAGAAGGCCUUCGGGUUGUAAAGUUCUUUCGGUAGCGAGGAAGGCAUUUAGUUUAAUAGACUAGGUGAUUGACGUUAACUACAGAAGAAGCACCGGCUAACUCCGUGCCAGCAGCCGCGGUAAUACGGAGGGUGCGAGCGUUAAUCGGAAUAACUGGGCGUAAAGGGCACGCAGGCGGUGACUUAAGUGAGGUGUGAAAGCCCCGGGCUUAACCUGGGAAUUGCAUUUCAUACUGGGUCGCUAGAGUACUUUAGGGAGGGGUAGAAUUCCACGUGUAGCGGUGAAAUGCGUAGAGAUGUGGAGGAAUACCGAAGGCGAAGGCAGCCCCUUGGGAAUGUACUGACGCUCAUGUGCGAAAGCGUGGGGAGCAAACAGGAUUAGAUACCCUGGUAGUCCAUGCUGUAAACGAUGUCGAUUUGGGGGUUGAGCUUUGAGCUUGGCGCCCGUAGCUAACGUGAUAAAUCGACCGCCUGGGGAGUACGGCCGCAAGGUUA